GGUCCCAUAGCUCAGUUGGUUAGAGCGUCGUACUAAUAAUGCGAAGGCCGAGAGUUCGACCCUCUCUGGGACCA
rnacentral:tRNA from 9 species